UUGCACCAUUGCGAUACUAAAUGCCAUACCGUUUGAGCGAAAGCACACGUCACACACGUAUGUUCUGUAGACUCUUGAUCCUUGCCACACACCGGACAAAGGCAGUUAACUAGGGACUGCAAUGGUUCCCUCACCAAUAUUACACGAUCGUGGUACUCAUUGAUUUGAAUAUGUGAUUACACAUAAUGCUGGACCUGCUAUGCUUUGUCACAUGUAUUGAGACCUACACUGAUAGCAAAGAUCGGAAGGCCCUGUCAUAA
rnacentral:lncRNA from 1 species